UCUAAGCUGUCAUCCUCCUGCUGCAAUCGUCAUUACAGUACCGCUGGUGACGCCACUCGGCGAGCGCAAGUGGAUAAAUAGAAACGUCUGCCACAGCGAAGAUGAAAGGAGACCCGCAGCUAAUGGCUCGGCAGUGAUGCGCCAGGUGUGGGCCUCACUCGAAUGGGGAGGAGAGUGUGAAAACAGAGAGACACACACACUGGGAGAGGGAGACACCCAAGCAGAGGGAAUGCAAAUGGAAUUCCGCAGAAAGAAAGGAGAGCUUAACGCGCGCAGCGAGUUCCGUAGGGGCUGCGGGACUCGGUGACCUUAUGCAUUCCACAGCCCACCUUGACCUGGAAGUGGCUAAUCCUAGAAGAAAUCGCUUUCUCAUUUGCUCUGGCUCACCUGCACUUCAGCUAAGAAAUCUGAAGCCAAGAAGAUUCAUAUAUAAUAGAACCAGGAUUUGAUCCUGUUUCUCAAGCUUGAAGUCCACACUCACAACGACUUGAGCUAUUUAAAGAGUGUCAGGCAUUAAGUUCUGAGUCUUUCCAAAAAUUUAACUUGUGAUUUUUUUCCCAAGGCUUU